GAAUGCAAUGGACGAGGGAAGGGGGUGUCUUAGGGUGUUUGUCAUUGCUUUUUAUAGUUUGUCACCCUCUUAAAAACAUUUUCAGCAGGGAGCAAGGCCACAGGCCAUCUGUGUUGAAGGAAACUCCAUGCUGUUUCUUUGCUAAGAUGCAGAUUUUUGCCCCUGCCUGUUUCCUGACAAAGAAUGACCACUUAGCAGCAGCAAGGAGGAAACGCAGACUACAAAUAUUAUGAAGGAACUCUGAGUACUUGUAUCUAAUCUGAGGCCCAGAUGAAACAAAUGAAAUUUACACUUGGAGGAUCAGAAAGAUGCAGAUGGGUGUUUCUGUAAGUCAACUUGGAAGAGUGGUAGAUGCCUCCACAAUGUUCAAGGCAGUAGAGAAUCAAGCCCAUUGAUUUUAAUUGGAACCACUUCAUUAAGGACUAUUGAGAGGCAAGACUGGAU